rnacentral:rRNA from 1 species
UACGGAGGAGGCAAGCGUUAUCCGGAAUUAUUGGGCGUAAAGCGUCCGUAGAUGGUUUUGUCAGUCUGCUGUCAAAGCACAGGGCUUAACCCUGUAAAGGCAGUGGAAACUACAAGACUAGAGUGCAGUGGGGGCAGAGGGAAUUCCCAGUGUAGCGGUGAAAUGCGUAGAGAUUGGGAAGAACAUCCGUGGCGAAAGCGCUCUGCUGGACUGCAACUGACAUUGAGGGACGAAAGCUAGGGGAGCGAAUGGG